rnacentral:rRNA from 1 species
UACGUAGGGUGCGAGCGUUGUCCGGAAUUAUUGGGCGUAAAGGGCUCGUAGGCGGCCUGUCGCGUCGGGGGUGAAAACUCAGGGCUUAACCCUGAGCCUGCUUCCGAUACGGGCAGACUAGAGGUAUGCAGGGGAGAACGGAAUUCCUGGUGUAGCGGUGGAAUGCGUAGAGAUCAAGAGGAACACUCGUGGCGAAAGCGAGCUACUGGACAAUUCCUGACGCUGAGGCUCGAAGGCUAGGGUAGCGAAAGGG